CAGAACGAACGCUGUGUUCGNAGGCCUAACACAAGCAAGUCGAGCGCCCCGCAAGGGGAGCGGCAGACGGGAGAUUACACGUGGGAACGUGCCCUUCAGUUCGGAACAACCCAAGGAAACUUGGGCUAAUACCGGAUAAGCCCUCACGGGGAAAGAUUUAUCGCCGAAAGAUCGGCCCGCGUCUGAUUAGCUAGUUGGUGAGGUAAUGGCUCACCAAGGCGACGAUCAGUAGCUGGUCUGAGAGGAUGAUCAGCCACAUUGGGACUGAGACACGGCCCAAACUCCUACGGGAGGCAGCAGUGGG
rnacentral:rRNA from 1 species